rnacentral:rRNA from 1 species
GCCAGCAGCCAUAUCGCCCUGAAGCUCUCAACUGCCUGCCCCCUGAAGCUAAGCAGGGUUGAGCUUGGUCAAUACCUGGAUGGAAGACCUCCUGGGAAGCUAUGGUUGCUGCUGGAG